AUACCCCUUUGGGGUAGUCAACUUAAAAAAAACUAUCUGUUCUUAUCAGUUUAAUAUCUGAUACGUCCCUUAUCUGGGGACAUAUAUUAAAUGGAUUUUUCGAACAAGGAGAUGGAAAAAGAGCUUGCUCUGUCCACUCCACGCAUUGACCCGGUAUUGCAGUACCUCAAGGACCGGUGCACCCCUU